rnacentral:lncRNA from 1 species
ACCUGCUUCCGUGAGCGCGGGGAGAAGCUGGGCACAGCUCGCUUUACUCCCAGUGGAGGGCGGGAAGCAUUUUCAACUUCUUUAAUGAGAAGCAUGUUCAGCCAGCAAAGAAGAAGAAGAAAAAUGGUUAUAGACAAGCAACCAACAGUAUCUGCCAUAGCUAUUUUAUAGCUGUUUAAACUUGGCUGGGGGUGAAAGAUGCCCUUCAGUGUCCCAAAUGAGAGAAGAGAAUUUUAAUUGGGAGUGGCCAAGGUUCACAAUUUCAGCCUGGAGGAAAGUAAAUUAAAGAGGGAAAUUUGGAUACACAAAGAGAUGCCAGGGAUUAACCUACCCAGAGGAAAGGCCACGUGAGGACACAGCAAGAAGGUGGCCGUCUGCAAGCCGAGAGAGGCCUCAGAAGAAGCCAAACCUGCUGAUACCUUGGACUUCCCAGCCUCCAGAUUUGUGAGAAAUAAACUACUGUUGUUUUAAGUCACCCAGUCUAUGAUAUUUUGUUAUAACAGCCCUAGCAAACUAAUACAAGGAUAUUCAUCAUUCUAUGUUUUUGUGCAUUGAAAUGCAUAAAUAUUUCAGCCUCAAUAUUUUCACAGAUGCUGUCUUUUUUGUUUUCAUUCAGAGUAGCUUUCUUCAACAAAUAUUUCAUAAGAACAACUUCAUAAUAUAAAUUGUCUCUAUUUAUGAUUCCACAUAAUUAUGGGCUUCCACAAUUUCGUUUUAUUCCAGUACAGAACAUAAAUUUAUCUAAUUAAAAAUAGGUGCUUCAGCAAAUGACUUAUCCUGCAAGUUGAAAUAUUCUAAAAUGCAAUUACAGAAUUUCAACAUUAAUAUUGUAUACUAUUUGAGGGCUUAUUGUUUAAUUUGUUCAGUACUCACUGUGCUUAUGAAAGGAUAAAUUUCAAGUUUCUCUGUUUGCAAAUGAUUUUUCCAAUAACCGCAUUUUGGUAUUUCAUUUGACAAAUACUUUGAUUAAAACUUUUUAUAAGCAUAUGAAAACGUGCUCAAUUUUAUUAUUCAUCAGAAAAAUACCAAUUAAAACUCCAAUGAGAUACCACUACACACUAGAAUGGGGAAUCGUAAAGAUUGACACUACCAAGUGUUGGCAAAGAUAAGUUGCAACUGGAAUUCUCAGACGUCGCUGGUAGGAACGCAAAAUGGUAUAGUACCUAGCGGCAUGGCAUUACAUUAUAAAGUUAGAUUCAUUACCACAUGAUCCAGAAAUUCUACUUCCAGAUUUCUACCAAGAGAAAUAAAAACAUAUGUCCAACAAAAACAUGAACAUGAUAGUGGGGUGUGGUGGUGGACACCUGUAAUCCCAGCUACUCAGGAGGCUGAUGCAGGAGAAUCGCUUGGACCUAGGAGGUGGAGGUUGCAGUGAGCUGAGAUCGCGCCACUACACUCCAGCCUGGGUGACAGAGUGGGACUCCAUCUCAGAAAAAAACCCAAAAAACAAAAACCCACAAAACAACGUGUACAUGAAUGUUUAUAGCAGCAUUAUUCAUAACAGUCCCAACUGGAAACAACACAAAUGUCCAUCACUAUUAGAUGGAUAAACAAAGUGUGAUAUAUUCAUACCACAGAAAACUAUUCAGCAAUACAAAGAAAGGACAUAAUACAGACAAUAACAUGGAUACAUCCUAAAAAUAUUAUGUUAAGAGAAAGAGGUCAAUCACAAAAGAUUCCAUACUAUGUGAAUCUACUCAUGUGAAAUUCUCUAUCAUGUAAAACCAUAGGGACAGAGAGAGAAUCAAUGGUUGCCUGGCGCCAGGGUUAGGGGAGAUAAGUGAAUAUAUACAGGUAUGAGAAAACUUUCUGGGGUGAAGAAUUGCUCCAUUUUUUGAUUUGGUUAAAUGAUUAGACACAAUAACCAAAAUUUACCAACCCGGACGCUUAAAAUUAGUAUAAAUAGGCCGGGCACAGUGGCUCACACCUGUAAUCCCAGCACUUUGGGAGGCUGAGGCGGGUGGAUCAUGAAGUCAGGAGUUCAAGACUAGCCUGGCCAACAUGGUGAAACCCCAUCUCUACUAAGAAUACAAAAAUUAGCUGGGCACAGUGGCAGACACUUGUAAUCCCACCUACUCGGGAGGCUAAGGCCAGAGAAGGGCUUGAACCGAGGAGGCAGAGGUUGCAGUGAGCCGAGGUCACGCCAUUGCACUCUAGCCUAGGCAAUACAGUGAGACUCUGUCUCAAAAAAAAAUUAGUAUAAAUAUUACCUUGAUAAACAAAAAGGAGAAAGCAGUUUCCAACCAAUUUUGAACAAAUACAACCAAAAUUAAGAGGACUAGUUUGUACAAAGUUCAGUACAAUGGUUGAAUAUCUAUAUUGGUUUAUAAAAUAGAUAUUCAAAGGCUUAAACAUUUUUAAACAUCAGACUGAUGACAGGUAGCAGACAGAAAACACAUAAUGCCAUAUUGAAGUAUGUUUUUAUAUUCAAUGUCAGCAUUGUCACAAGAUUUUGUAAUCUAGUUAUUCUGUGCAUAUGUAAAAAUAUUUGGCAAUUACAUUUUUUUUUUUUUGGGACAUAGUCUUGCUCUGUUCCCCAGGCCGGAGUGCAAUGGCGUGAUCUCAGCUCACUGCAACCUCUGCCUCCUGGAUUCAAGCGAUUCUCCUGCCUCAGCCUCCUGAGUAGUUGGGAUUACAGGCAGCUGCCACCACGCCCAGCUAAUUUUUCUAUUUUUAGUAGAGGCGGGGUUUCACCAUGUUGGUCAGGCUGGUCUUGAACUCCUGACCUCAGGUGAUCCACCCGCCUUAGCCUCCCAAAGUGCUGGGAUUACAGGUGUUAGCCACCGUGCCCAGCCCGGCAAUUACAGUUUCUUUUUGAUAAUUACAAGAAUUAUUUUUUGAGAGUUUGAAUGCAGUUAUAAAUUAUGUGCAGUUAUAAAUUAUCCAAAUGCAAGUAAAUCUCUUUAGUAAGAACACUACUUUUUUCAAAAUUUGUAUGUA